CUGUGGUCAGUUGGGCCAUUGAGCCAAAUCUUAUUCCAGUCCUUGCCAACCUCCUAGUCACUGUACUAAAUGCCACCAGGUGGGCCAUUGAGCUGUUGAUUGCCCUUUUGCCCAGUGAGGCAGGUGGUCACACAGCCCCAUCACAACACAAGCAGAACCUCUGAGACUAGCUAUGGAUGACUGAUGAGGACUGGGAUACCAACAUUGAACUAAUGCCAGAACCCAGGUAACCAUUGUAGUAGCAGGUAGGCUCAUCACUUUCCUUUUGAACACCAGGCUACAUUCUCAGUACUUGUCCACCUCUACUUCUAUGACCUCCAUUGUCGUGGUGGGAGGCAAAUCAUAUCAACCACUAAGAAUGCCACCUCUUACAUGCUCAUUCACGAGAUCCCUUUCUCCCACUCUUUCCUCAUUAUUCCCCAAUGCCCCACUCACUCCCUUACUAGGUCUAGAUAGAUCUCUUAAGUAACUAUAGCUCAUCCAUUUCGUUUAAUCUUCCAUGCUGUACUCUCUCCAAGACGUAUCCCCAUUCCAACUCCUACUCCUCCUAUCACUUACAAUAACUCCCUCAUCAAUACUCUUGCCCCCAUCCUUGGUCAAUCCCCAGAUAUGGGACAUACACAACCCCUCUGUAGCCACACACCAAGAGACCAUCCACAUCACACUCAAAAACCCAUCUCUUUCCACUCCAAUCCCAAUAACCACUAAAAUAGCCUUAGGGGACCCAUCAAUUCUCACCUCCUAGUCAAAGGCCUAUAUCCUGCAGACUCCCCUCAUAACACACCCAUUCUCACCAUCAAGAAAACCCUCAGGUGCCUUCCAUUUGGUCCAAGACUUUGCAUCCAUCAACAUAGCAGUAGUCCCUUUACACCCCAUUGUUACAAAUCCAAACACUGUCUUGUCCUCCACCCCUGCCUCCACAACACACUUUUCUGUUCUAGACUUUAAGGAUGCCUCUUUACCCAUUCCCUUACAAAAAGAUUCUAAAGCCCUCUUUGCUUUUACCGAACUGACCUAGACACCCAGGUAUCCAUUCAGCUUACAUGGACAGUCCUUCCUCCGGGUUUUAGAGAUAGCCUCCACCUUUUUGGACAAGCCUUAGCCUGAGACCUCAUCUACCUAUCUUUGUCACCAUCAUUCCUCCUCUAAUACAUGGAUGACCUUCUUGUAGAUGACCUUCUUUUCUGCAGCCCUUCUGUAUACCAUAGUAAAACCUACACAGCCAAAUUAUUAAAAUUCUUGGCCUAGCAAGAAUAUCUCAUCUCCCCCUCUAAGGUUCACCUUUCUCUUCCCACAGUCACUUACUUGGGCUUCCAAAUAACCCUGCCCACAAGGCCAUCACAGUGGAUCCCAAAAUCUUAUUUCUCACCUUCCUGUUUCUACUACCAUGGCUGAAGUACUCUCAUCGUUCUUGGGACUAACAGGAUACUUUAAGACAUGGAUACCCAGUUACUCUUUGCUGGCCCGACCCCUUCUCAGUGCCACAAAUCCUCCCUUGAAGAGCUCCUCAUCAUACCCAUCAACACUUCCUUUUGGGCCCUCCACCAAGCCCUCCUACAGGCCUCAGCCCUUCACUUACCCAACAUUGGGAAAGCAGUGGCAUUUCUCUCAAAGGCCUUUGAAUAGCAAUGGCAUUUCUCUUAAAGCACCUUGACCCAACAAUACAACAAUACACCUUGCUUUGGGGUAAUAGCCUCCUCAGUCAUUUUAAUCCAGGAGUCAAAACAAAAGAAACCUAGCAUUUGGGUCACCUCUAAUAGUCCUCUCCCCUCAACACUUAACUGAAUUACUCUCCUAUAAGGGUUCUCAGACUCUGCCCCCUUCCCAUAUUUUUUCCCCUUCAGAUCUCACUGAUUGAGGACCUCACUCUAACCUUCAAAACAUGCCCACCGCUCAGUCACUUUACUCUACUUUCUCCUCCUAAUGACUUUAAUCUUCAUCAACUUCUCCAUUCCAGUUACUCCCCUAUCCCUCCCAUAUUCAGGAAGAACCCUUGCCAACUCCCUCAUACACUUGGUUCAUGGAUGGGUGUUCCUUUUCUCAUGAUCACCACAGCUUUAGAAGUGAUAGAGUGUAACUCCCUACCCCCCAGCACCACCAAUCAACAAGCAAACUUAAUAGCUCCAACCCAAGCAUUCACCCAAGCUAAGAGUUAAUCUUUGAUCAUUUAUACAGAUUCUAAAUAUUGCUUUCAUAUAUUAUUAGCUCAUGCAGCAAUAUGGAAAGAGUAAGUACUCAUGACUACCAAAGGCUCCUCCAUCAUCAACACUUCAUACAUCAAUGCCCUCCUAGAAGUCUCCCUUCUCCCUUCUAUAGGCAUAGUACUUUGCAAAACCAUCAGUGAGAUAAUUCCAUUAUUACAGCAGGUAGCAACCUGGCAAAUCAAAUGGCCCACAGGCAGCUCUAUACCCACUCCCCAACAAUGAAUCCAACACCAUUCUCCUUUCUACACCCCAGACACUUCCCAAAACACAUCUGCACCCCCAAUACCACACAAGAUACCUAUCACAUCCUCACCUAUCUACACCACUUACUUCACCCUAAAUUCUCUUCUUUAAGAGACUUUAUCAAACAAUUUUUAAUUGUCACCACAGACCAUAUCAAAUUCUUCCAGGACCUCUCUUCAUUCUGAGAGAGAUGUAAAAACAAAACAAACAAACAAAAAACUAAUCCUUCCUCUAACAUUUCAUCCUCCCAUCCCAAUGCAGUUACUCCACCUAAUGGCUUGUCCCCUAAAUGGAUGGGACCAUAUGAAGUUACUCUUACCACCUCAACUGCCGCCAAUCUUAAGGGGUUCCCCAACUGGAUACACAUUUCAGCUCUCAAAACCUGCCCUCACCUUCACUUCACUGCAAUGCCCACAGGGCCACUCACCUUGUGGCUCAAACAGACAAAAGCCUCCAAACUUCACCUGGUAUCAGAACAACUCAAAGACCAUACAACCCCAGAUAAGUGACUCCCUCUUCCCUUCUCAUUACUAUCAAUUUCUUCUCAUCCUAUGGACAGAGCUGGCCUCUGACCCAGGACUUCCAAGGCCUAUGACUCCCACUUUCCUCUUCUAGCUCCUUCAGGACUUACAUUUUUAGGGAUCCUUUUCCAACUUCACCCCAACUAAAAUUUACCUCUUUUCUAAAUGCCAUUCUCUGCCUAGCCUUCUGUUACCAUGUGUUUUCAAGUUUUUACAGAAAACCAUCAUGGAAAGGACUAAGACCUACACCAAUGAAGUGAUCAAUAAGAUGCUUCUGGGAUAAUAUGCUCACUUGAAAGAAGAAACCUCCCUCUAGGACCUGUCUCUGCCCCAUCACCACCCCCAUGCCAGUAGGAAUUAGCCAUAAGAAGAAGAGACCUCCAUCCAUAAGCCACCCUAAGCCCUAGUAUUAAAAAAGGGAGGAAUGUUGACAUAACUACAGCCAUUUUCCUUUUCC
rnacentral:lncRNA from 1 species